rnacentral:rRNA from 1 species
UACGUAGGUGGCAAGCGUUGUCCGGAUUUACUGGGCGUAAAGAGCGCGCAGGCGGCUGGUCAAGUCCGAUGUGAAAUCUCCCGGCUUAACUGGGAAACUGCAUCGGAAACUGAUCGGCUUGAAGGUGGGAGAGGGUAGUGGAAUUCCCGGUGUAGUGGUGAAAUGCGUAGAUAUGCGGAGGAACACCGAUGGCGAAGGCAAUCCCCUGGGCCUGCACUGACGCUCAUGCACGAAAGCGUGGGGAGCAAACAGG